rnacentral:rRNA from 1 species
CCAAUAGCGUAUAUUAAAGUUGUUGCAGUUAAAAAGCUCGUAGUUGAAUUUCGGGAUCAAUAUGUUGGUCGUGCCUUGGUACGUACUAAUUUAUUGGUUUCUUCCUUCUGACGAACCACGAUGUCAUUAAUUUGGUGUCUUGGGGAAUCAGGACUGUUACUUUGAAAAAAUUAGAGUGUUUAAAGCAGGCUCACGCUUGAAUACAUUAGCAUGGAAUAAUGAAAUAGGACGUUUGAUUCUAUUUUGUUGGUUUCUAGGAUCGACGUAAUGAUUAAUAGGGAUAGUUGGGGGCAUUAGUAUUCAAUUGUCAGAGGUGAAAUUCUUGGAUUUAUUGAAGACUAACUACUGCGAAAGCAUUUGCCAAGGAUGUUUUCAUUAAUCAAGAACGAAAGUUAGGGGAUCGAAGACGAUCAGAUACCGUCGUAGUCUUAACCAUAAACUAUGCCGACUAGGGAUCGGAUGAUGUUAAUUUUUUAAUGACUCAUUCGGCGCCUUACG